GACAAUCUGCAGCCCCUGUCUCUGGGCAGUCACCAGACCACCCCCCUGAGAACUCUCCUCUCCAAACACGGGACAAUGAGGCUUUGGUUGUAUCUCGUUCUCAUUGCAGCAGCGUUUGAAGGUGCCCGGUCCCAGGUGCAGCUGGUGGAGUCCGGAGGGGAUGUGAAAAAGCCCGGAGACUCUCUCCGCCUCUCCUGCAAAGCCUCCGGCUUCACCUUCAGCAGCUACUGGAUGGACUGGGUCGGGCAGGGUCCUGGCAAGGGGCUAGAAUGGGUCGCUGCUAUAAGCACGGGUGGGAGUAGUACAUACUACCUUGAUUCAGUGAAAGGCCGAUUCACCAUCUCCAGGGAUGAUCCCAAGAGUGAGCUGUAUCUGCAAAUGACCGGCCUGAAGCCCGAGGACACCGCCCGCUAUUACUGUGCGAGAGACACAGUGACACGAAACCGGUUUGUGAUCAGACAAAAACCCAGGCUGCGGAACCGCCCUUCUCCCGGCAGCCGCGCGGGGGCAGCAGUGACACACACCCCGCUCCGGGCUCACACAGGAGACCCGGCACCCGGGUGA